rnacentral:lncRNA from 1 species
ACAUCAAGGAUUUCUGCAAGUCAUUUUGAAGACGAUUGACGCCAUGGAAUCGUCCCCUGAAUCACAUAAAAGGGUAUGUUUAUAGACUUGAUUGUUAAAACAUCAUCACAGAUGGUUCUUCCAUAUUUGAUGGAUGGCAUACUUCUGUAGAAAGAACCUACAUGCUAAUGUUCUUACUGAUGAUGAUAUUCUUGAUAUGACAUAUGAAGAGUACCUCGCAGCCCAUGGCAGAGACAACCGAAUUUCACAUCAAUCGGCCAGUCUUGAACAGGUGAUUGAGUCUUCCCAAAAAAGUUGAGAUUCAUCUGUUUGCAAAGCGAAAGAUGUUGACUCAUAAGCAUCCUACUUUUUACUUCCAAAACUAUAUAGUUUACUACAAUUAUGCAAUAACUUUGUUUCUUUUCUUAAAAAAAACUAUUACGGUUAUUCACGAUACUGCUUAAAGGAGAGGGCUCGCCAUCUUCAUGGUCAUGAUGAUCAUCAUAGUCGUCGUGAUCGUCAUAGUUAUCAUCACAAUUCCUCUCCUAAAUGAGAGUAUGAUGAAGUUAGAUUCCAUUUAUUCAUUGAUUGGUGGGUAGUGAAGUUAUGUGAGAAAGGAAGAUGGUACAGAUAACCGUCUAGGACCAGCCAAACCAAACCGUGUGCUUAUUUAUAUUUUGGAAAGUGGAUUGCCACUAUUCUUUGAUGUUAAUAGCAGUGGCACAACCCUAUAAUCAAUAGGAAGAAUUGUAUUUGGUCUAUUUGAAAAGACAGUUCCCAAAGAACAAGUUUGAUGGUGUAUGGAUUCACUAACUUUUCUUUUAGUUGUUUUGACGAAAGAUUGUUCUUUACUAAUUUGUAUUCUUUUAAUAUCAUAAAAGUUUUGAGUU